rnacentral:rRNA from 1 species
GAUGAACGCUGGCGGCGUGCCUAAUACAUGCAAGUCGAGCGAACAGAUGAGGAGCUUGCUCCUCUGACGUUAGCGGCGGACGAGUGAGUAACACGUGGAUAACCUACCUAUAAGACUGGGAUAACUUCGGGAAACCGGGGCUAAUACCGGAUAAUAUAUUGAACCGCAUGGUUCAAUAGUGAAAGACGGUUUUGCUGUCACUUAUAGAUGGAUCCGCGCCGCAUUAGCUAGUUGGUAAGGUAACGGCUUACCAAGGCAACGAUGCGUAGCCGACCUGAGAGGGGGAUCGGCCACACUGGAACUGAGACACGGUCCAGACUCCUACGGGAGGCAGCAGUAGGGAAUCUUCCGCAAUGGGCGAAAGCCUGACGGAGCAACGCCGCGUGAGUGAUGAAGGUCUUCGGAUCGUAAAACUCUGUUAUUAGGGAAGAACAAAUGUGUAAGUAACUAUGCACGUCUUGACGGUACCUAAUCAGAAAGCCACGGCUAACUACGUG